rnacentral:rRNA from 1 species
AACCGUGGAGGGUCAUUGGAAACUGGGGAACUUGAGUGCAGAAGUGGAAAGUGGAAUUCCACGUGUAGCGGUGAAAUGCGUAGAGAUGUGGAGGAACACCAGUGGCGAAGGCGACUUUCUGGUCUGUAACUGACACUGAGGCGCGAAAGCGUGGGGAGCGAACAGGAUUAGAUACCCUGGUAGUCCACGCCGUAAACGAUGAGUGCUAAGUGUUAGAGGGUUUCCGCCCUUUAGUGCUGCAGCUAACGCAUUAAGCACUCCGCCUGGGGAGUACGGCCGCAAGGCUGAAACUCAAAGGAAUUGACGGGGGCCCGCACAAGCUGUGGAGCAUGUGGUUUAAUUCGAAGCAACGCGAAGAACCUUACCAGGUCUUGACAUCCUCUGACAACCCUAGAGAUAGGGCCUUCCCUUUCGGGGGACAGAGUGACAGGUGGUGCAUGGUUGUCGUCAGCUCGUGUCGUGAGAUGUUGGGUUAAGUCCCGCAACGAGCGCAACCCUUGAUCUUAGUUGCCAGCAUUCAGUUGGGCACUCUAAGGUGACUGCCGGUGACAAACCGGAGGAAGGUGGGGAUGACGUCAAAUCAUCAUGCCCCUUAUGACCUGGGCUACACACGUGCUACAAUGGGAUGGUACAAAGAGCCCGCAAACCCGCGAGGGCAAGCUAAUCUCAUAAAGCCAUUCUCAGUUCGGA